rnacentral:rRNA from 1 species
CGGGGGGGGGCAAGCGUUGUUCGGGAAUUACUGGGGCGUAAAGCGCGCGCAGGCGGCCCGGCAAGGUCCUACGUGAAAUCCCACAGCUCAACUGUGGAACUGCGUGGGAUACUGCCAGGCUUGAGUCCGGGAGAGGAGAGUGGAAUUCCCAGUGUAGCGGUGAAAUGCGUAGAUAUUGGGAGGAACACCGGUGGCGAAGGCGGCUCUCUGGACCGGUACUGACGCUGAGGCGCGAAAGCUAGGGGAGCAAACGGGAUUAGAUACCCCGGUAGUCCUAGCUGUAAACUUUGAGCACUUGGUGUGGCGGGUAUCGACCCCUGCCGUGCCGAAGCUAACGCAUUAAGUGCUCCGCCUGGGGAGUACGGUCGCAAAGGCUGA